CGAGAGCAGCUCAGCGCUAAUAUAUAAUCCAUUCUUUGCACACAGUGACGGGACUAUAUUAUGGAGGAGUCUUAGGGGCUCGUAAAUGCUUUCAGUCGCUUCUCUUUGUCAUUGUUUGCAAGAGCCUCAGAGACGUGAUUUUAGCAUUUUGCAGUACAGUUGUGUGUUUGUCAGCAGCUGGAGGAAUUCCUCCACAUCUGUCCGCGAUGGGAAAGAGCUGCCGGGUCAGCAAACUGUGCGUUCUUUGUGUGGUCUUAGCCUUGGUUUCCGUGGCAACCCUCGUUACAUUGUGGACUCUUGCCCUGACAGGAGACGAUGGUGAUGACGUCACAGCUCCUUGGGACAGCUAUCGUCUGCCCACAGAUUUGGUUCCCAAGUUCUACAACAUCACCCUGUGGCCUCGACUCAGCCGCCACCCGGACACCGGCCUCUACAUUUUCACAGGACAUUCGACUGUGCAGUUUGAAUGCGUGAAAGAAACCAAUCUGAUCCUGAUUCACUCCAACAAACUCAACUACACCAAACUGGAUGAAGCUCACAUUGUCAGACUCACUGCUUCAGGUGGUGCUUCUGCCCCCAUUAUCAAGUCGACAUGGCUGCAGCCUAAGACUCAGUACCUGGUCAUCGAGCUGAACGGUAAAUUAAGUCAAGGACAGACGUAUCAACUGUACGCCGAAUUCACCGGAGAACUAGCUGACGACUUAGCCGGCUUUUACAGGAGUGAAUAUGAAGAAGAUGGAGUCAGAAAGAUUGUUGCCACUUCUCAGAUGCAUCCGACUCAUGCCAGGAAAACUUUCCCUUGUUUCGAUGAGCCGGCGAUGAAAGCAGUUUUCCACAUGACUCUCAUCCACCCGCCUGGAACUGUAGCCCUUUCCAACGGCAUGGAAACAGAUGUCGUUGACGCCACUAUCGAUGGAGUAGCCGUGACACAGACCAAGUUUGAGCCCAGCAAGAAAAUGUCGUCCUACCUGCUGGCCAUCGUUGUCUCUGACUACACACACCUCCGAGCUAAACAAGAAGACACACUGAUCCGUAUCUGGGCUCGUAGGAAGGCCAUUGAACAGGGACAAGGUGACUACGCCCUCAAUGUGACCGGACCAGUUCUGGACUUCUUCCAGUCCUACUACAACAUCUCGUACCCGCUGAGCAAGUCAGACCAGAUCGCUCUGCCAGACUUUUAUUUCGGUGCCAUGGAGAACUGGGGUUUGGUGACGUACAGAGAAACCAACCUGCUGUACGACCCUGCAACCUCCUCCAACAGCAACAAAGAAACCACUGCCACCAUCAUCGCUCAUGAACUGGCCCACAUGUGGUUUGGUAACCUGGUGACGCUGCGCUGGUGGAACGAGGUGUGGCUGAACGAGGGCUUUGCUUCGUACGUGGCAUACCUUGGAGCCGACUACGCCGAGCCCACGUGGAACGUGAAAGACUUGAUCGUCCUCGAUGACGUCCACAGAGUGUUUGCAGUCGAUGCUUUGACCUCCUCUCAUCCUCUGACCUCUAAAGAAGACAGCAUCGUCCUGCCGGAACAGAUCACUGAGCAGUUUGACACCAUCUCCUACAGCAAGGGUGCAGCGGUGUUGAGGAUGCUGUCCGACUUCCUCUCAGAGACCAUCUUCGUCCAGGGACUCAGUUCGUACCUCAAUCACUUCGCCUACAGCAACACAGUGGGAAAUGACUUGUGGCAACAUCUACAAAUGGCGGUGACAGACAACGAUGUUUUACUUCCUCGUCCAGUUCAGGACAUCAUGAACCCCUGGGUGCUCCAGAUGGGCUUCCCUGUGGUUACCGUGGAUACGGCCUCGGGGAAAGUUUCCCAGCAACACUUUCUGCUGGAUCCAGAGUCCAACGUCACGGUCGAUUCGCCAUACAAGUACGAGUGGCCGGUUCCUGUGCGGUGGAUGAAGGCCGGUGAGGUCCAGACAGACAUCUGGUGGCUGCUGGAGAAGGAAGCGGUGAACCCGGGCAUGAGGAGCGGAGCUUCGUGGGUUCUGGCCAACAUCAACGUGACCGGAUUUUACCGAGUGAACUACGACCUGGGGAACUGGGAGCGUCUCUUCACUCAGCUGAGCACAGAUCACCAGGUCAUACCAGUGAUAAACAGAGCUCAGCUUGUGGACGAUGCUUUUAAUUUAGCCAGAGCUCAGCUGGUCUCCACCACUCUGGCUCUCAGAACCACCUCCUAUCUGUCCCUGGAGAUGGACUUCAUGCCCUGGCAGUCUGCUCUGGACAACCUCAACUAUUACUACCUCAUGUUGGACCGAACCGAAGUCUAUCAGCCGAUGCAGGACUACCUGAAGAAGCAGGUGACUCCCCUCUUCAUGCACUUCAAGAACCUGACGUCAGACUGGACUCAUGUUCCUGAAGGACACACUGACCAGUACAACCAGGUGAACGCCGUCCGUACCGCCUGUAGAACCGGACUAACGGAGUGUCAGAACCUGACCAGCACCUGGUUCAGACAGUGGAUGGAGAAUCCUCAACACAACACGAUUCAUCCCAACCUGCGGUCAGUCGUUUACUGCAGCGCCAUGGCAGCAGGCGGAGAAGCUGAGUGGGAGUUUGGAUGGAUCCAGUUCAAGGAGGCGUCUUUAGCCAGCGAGGCCAGUAAACUGAUGUCUGCUCUGUCCUGUACGAGCGACACCCAGCUGCUGCAGAGGUAUCUGUCUUUCACCUUGAACUCCACUUUGAUCCGUAAACAGGACGCCACCUCCGUCAUCACGUCUGUGGCCGCUAACAGAGCAGGACAGAGUCUGGCCUGGAGCUUCGUCAGGGAUCGGUGGGAGUACAUGUUCACUCAAUAUGGCGUUGGCUCCUUCUCCUUCGCCUCCAUGAUCACUGGAGUCACAGCGAGAUUCUCCACAUCUGAUGAACUACAACAGCUGGAGGAGUUUGUGGAGCAGAACGGAGCUGCGGGGUUCGGAUCGGCCUCGCUGGCUGUGGAUCAGGCCUUGGAGAGGACCAGAGCAAACAUCAAGUGGCUGCAGCAGAACCAGCAGGAGGUUCUGGACUGGUUCAGCAGCCAGACGCACUGACAGAACUUCUGGAUGAUGAACGUGUGAAUGUUGGACCGACCUGAAGGCCAUGCAGAACCAGAUGAUGGCCAUGAAGAGAGUAGCGAACCUCAGCUCAGCCGACAGGAGGGACGCCACGUUCCUCAACACCUGGACAGAUGUUCAAACACACGAGACAUUUUAGAAUCAACUCCAGACCACUGUUCCCUCUAAGCUGCACACACCAAAGAACUACAGACUCUUCACAACCUGCUCAAACUCUUGGUACAGGACCUCACCACACGGGUCAAGAAGGUUUCCGUCUCAUUUCUACUCUGAAGCUCACCUUCUCCUGCUCAAACUGCUGACAAAUGUUUCUGCUGCUCUAAAGUCUGGUCUCCAGAACUUCCUAAAAACUCUCAAAGUCUCUUCUGCUGCAGGUUGCUUUGUAGAACUGUUGCAGAAAACCUCACUAAACCACAUGGAGGGGCCUCAAGAUAGUCGUCCAAAUGAAACCAUACAAAAACCAAACUAGCACAACCCAAACGCUAAAGUCUCCUGCAGCCUACCAGAGAACCUCUGAGAACAGAGAAUCAGGACAGGAACUCUUACCUUCUGGACAACCAACGUUGGUUCUCAAACAAGAAUACAGAAUGUGUCUGACCAAAAACCUCUGAAGACUCACUACAGCCAAGAUAAAGACACAACUCAGCUGCACCAAAUCCACUAAUCACUGCACACAUUAGCACCAUGUGCUAACUGUGGCUAAAGAACCACAUUUACCAAGACAACUAUCCAGUACAAAGCCCUAAAACACACCAAGAAACACAUUAAAGAUGAUUUUACUGCUGGAAGCUGCAAGCCAACACCUAAAGAACAAACUAAAGCAAUGGAGCCAAACCCAGUUCAGUGGUGAAGAGAAGCAGAGGAAAUGUUUGUCUGCAGCUAAAUAAAGCAGGAAGACACUGAGCUGCUCAGGUGUUCCUGAUAACACCAAGCAGCCACCUGGACAGCCAAUAGGAACACAGCUUCCUGGAAGUCCAGAGGGCUGGCUUAGUGAAGGAAAUUUAGUUUAAAGUUGAAGCAGAAAGUUAACAAAGAAAGUUGAAAACCACCUUCUGAUACCUGAAAUCUCUGAGUUUUCACACAAAGAACACCUGAACAUGUCAAACUGGUUCCAUAGUAGAACCAUCAUUGUAAAAACGUCAUAGUAUGGUGUGUUGCUCAAAAAACAUUAGGACCCGGCUGUCAGGGGACAAACAUGUAAGAAACAUGAGAACAGAGAGAACCCAACCAGUAGGUCACAGUUUAUCAUCCCCCAGUCAUCUCCUGAAGUCCAUAUGGUGAGAGACAUCAGUAUCUGGUUGUUAAUUUACCAGAGGAUGCUUAUAAUCAUGCUGAUGUGGUCUGUACUCUACAGUAUUUUAGUGACUCAAUAAAUGCCUAAGUUGUUUUUUUUAAAUGCUUUUCAGUUUUUAAUAAACAUUUAACAGCCUAUAUGUAAUCAAUAAAUGGCCUUUGCCUAUCUUAAGAAAAAUUCACUCAGAACUCUGAUAUGUUAACAGUACUAAAUAAAUCAAUAAAUACAUGCAUACACACAUAAAUAAGUUAAUACAUUAACUGUGUUAAGAUAAGAUUUAGAUUUUUAAAAAAAGUUGUUUAUGUUUUUGCAGAAUCCAGUAUUGCUCACUGGUUGGUCAUUACAUUUUAUUAGUUUGAUUUCACUGUUUAAAAUGAUGCCACCUCUUUUCAGACAGAACCUGUGAUAAUAAAACAAUACAAAAUUUUUAGUUCCGUGUUAAUAAAGCACUUAAAGCUUUAAGUAUGGCUAAAUGCUUUUUUCAGAAUUAAAUAUAUCACUCCUUAGGUGGUAGUGGCCCCAAGUUCAGUAAAGUUGGAAAGAUAUUCACAGAUUCAGACUUCCAGCAUCAAUAACUCAUUAGAUAUAGGUUGUCAAAACAUAAACGGUGCCUCUUUCCCAUUGUUGCAAGGCAGACAAUGUGCUACAAGCCCAGUUUUAUCAAAAGUAGCUGUCUUUCAAGCUACAGGAAUAACAUUGGUGUCUAUGGAGUGAACAGGGUCCGUCUGCAAUUUGCAAAACCACUGCAACAGUAAAGAGAGACAAAUAUUCAAUAACUUCACUCUUAUACAUUGUAGUGUCACUAAAAUCACUGCAGCCUUCAACUGGCUCCUGUUGACAAAGUGUUUUAACAGAAAUGUAAAUGCUGUAAUUUGAUUCUUUUAAUGAACCAUGUAACUUGAAUGGAUGUGAUGCUGGUGUGACCACAGUGCACACGUCUGAUGUUGCUCACAGUGGUCCAAGGGACGCUCAGGGAGUUUGUGUGUUUGCUCAGACUCAGGAAAAAUUACAGGGAACAUUGCUCCAGACUGAGUAUAAAUCACAUCCAGUUCUCCUGCACAGUGCUGGGAUCAGCUGCUUCUUACUGGAUGUGCUAUGUGCUUUAGGGAACAACAUCAUUAAUAUACUGCAAGUAUUUUGUACAGAAUGUGACUCAGGUUGUGUUUUACUCAUACAGCUCACAAUAAUGUUCAAGCAUUUAUCAAUAACCUGCAUCAUUUUCCUUUGAACUGUAACUACACACAACAUUAAGUAUCAUCAGUCCUUGUACAGUAAAUGCAAUGACUUUUUAUUACUUUACUAGACAGAAAUCUUUGUAUUAUCCUGUUAUUUUUGACCAUUUGAUAAACAAAAAUGUCUAUUAUGCUGAGGAAAUGAAACCCUAAUUAACUAAAAAUGGCUCAAACAUAUUCAUAAAUUCCGGUUCCUAUCUUUUUGUGUUUUUUUUUUUUGGUUGUUAAAAUCUAAAAAUCUAUUCUAUCCAGGAACAACACCACCAGACAAACAUGGUGCUAACAUGCUACAACACGCUAGCUGUGUGGUUGUUAAUAUUGACUAAGUAAUUAAAUGUGCUCCAGAGACGAUCUGUUUCAUUCUCAUAUGUGGAGAAUGUGGUGGUGUCAGGUCAAACAGGGCUUCAGCAGAGUUCAACUAAUUAAAUUUAAGUGUUUUUAAUACACACAGCAUGUAAUUUGAUAGUUUAUUUUUUACUGUCAUACAAGUCAAAGUGUAAUAAGAAUAAAAUAAAUAAAUAAAUAAUGCAAUUAAAAAUAAUAACAGUGAUCUUCCAGUAGAAUCCUACAAAACGAUACAGUAAUCAUUGAUCUUUCUAAAACUGAAAAUAUUCACCUUCAGGAAGUUGCAAGCAGGGAAGUUAGAAUUUUUUACUUAAAUUUAAUACUAAAAUAGUUACCAAUUGGUACUAAUUGUGUACCAGCUCUGGUACACAAACGUAUAAAUAUAUCUAUGAGAAUGUGGGACAUUGAUUCAAAUUUUUUGGGAUAUAAAAAAACCUAAUAAUUUAAGUGUAAUUUUUCUUCAAAAAGUGAUUUAAACUGAUUAAUCAAUUAUCAAAAUAGUUUAUGUGUAACUAAUCAAUUCAUUGUUGCAGCUCUGGUAUAAAACUUUAUUUUUCCAUAUGAAAAAGUAGGACAUUAAUUACUUGUUUGUUUUUUAAAAAAACAACAAAACAACAUGCUGUUGCAAUAAAUUCAGUGUUUUAUUUCUUAAAAAUUGACAAACUGAUUAAUUGAUUGUUCGUGAAUAAUUUAACUGUGGAUAACUAAUUUAACUUCCAUAACUCGACUCAAGACCGGCAGAUAAAUGUUCUCAUUUAUUCUCUUUUAAUUAAGCAGAUGUAAAACAUAAAUAACCAAAAGCAUGUCAACAAAGUAUUGUGUUGGCGUUUGUGACGAUUGGUGUACGUCUGUCUGUCUGUCUGCAACAUUACUCAAAACCGGAUUAACAGGGUGCCCGUAUAGCUCAACGCAUUAAGCAGGUGACCCAUGUACAGAGCUGGUCCCUGAUGCAGUGGUCCGGCUUCAAUUCCUGCUCGCAGCUCUUUGCUGCAUAUCUUCUCCUGACUCUUCUCCCCAUUUCCUGUCUGUCUCUCACUAUGCCUGUCAAAUAAAGCCAACAAAAGGCCAUGAAAAUAGCUUUAAAAAAAAAACGGAUUUGGAUGAAAUGUUCAGGGAAGGUCAGAAAUGACACAAGGACCAAGUGAUUAGAUUUUGGCAGUGAUGCGGCUUAUAGUCUGGAUCCACGGAUUAGUUAAAGAUUUCUGUAUCAUUGCUAGAUAGCAGCACAGCAUCACUGUAACUAUGACAACAAGUGAACGCUACAUCAGCUGCCUGCUGAUGAUCACAUGAUUGUGAUCCUACUACAAAUCCACUGCUGAGGACUUAUCAGGACUUAUCUGUCGGAAAUGAUACAAGGAACAACUGAUUAAAUUGUGGGGGUGUUUCUGAGUCCCAUCAAUUCCUGCCACCCGCUACAUGUUUAGGUCAUGUGAUUCAGUAUCCGUACAUAACGUACACAUGCAUAACACAUGCCUGUGCUCAGUGCAAGGACAUUUUUAUUAAAGAUUUCAUCCUUAGGAAAUGCUACGACUAAGCAGCCUUGGUGGAGUACGGCGCCCUGAGUGCUUUUCUUGUUCGACAUUUUGACACCAAGAUUUUAAUUUUCACCACAAAAGUAUGUUGGUUCUUAACCCUUUAAAGGAGACUCACUGAAAUACUUUGAAAUUUCAAAUUUCAACCCUAAAGUGUUUUCGGAGGAUAUAAGACUUUUCUACUUUUGAGACAUUUUUCAAAAUUUUUAAUUUUCAUGUUGAAAUUUGAGGUCAAUGAAGUUACCAUAUAUGGUUCCUUGCCCGUUAGUGAUAAAAAAAAAAAAAAAACAUUCCAAGAAAUGUAUGAAUCAUCACUUAGCACAACUACUCAGCCAUAACAUGUUAGUUAGUUUUGAUUGAUGGUUAGUUUUGAGAUUUCCACUGCAAGUAUGGAAGAGGAAUGAGCUGCAAGUCUGUCUUUUCCCAACUUUGGAGAAAAGACAAAGUUUGACACGUUCCAGGCCUCUGCUGAUUGGUCAGAUACCACGAUGUCGUGUGCUGUAACGUAGAGUGAUCUUUGCUGAUUGGCUGGCUGAAAACCACAUGCUUCUCGACCUCACCGAGAGGCGGGAGCAACGCCAUAUUUAAUGUGUGCGGAAGUUACCAAAUAUGAUACUACUUCUGGUCUCCUUGAUAGCUGAUCAUCUAUAUCAGUAUUGACCCUGUAAAACCCACAUCGGUAAACACCAGCAAACGUAAACACAGGUUCUAUUUGUGUUUGCUUCCUACCAGUUUACAGAGCGUCAGUGAUCGAACAGCCCAGCGUUGGACCGGCGUUCCCGUUGCGCUCUGAAUCUCGAUGAACUCGUCCUCCGCCGUCUUCGGAGCUUUGAUGUGAGUCACCUGGAAAAAAAAUUUAAAAACAGCAGAAGGAACAUUUCACUUGUUUUUUUCUGAGCAGCUCCUUUAGAACACAACAGAUACAUUCAUGUGAACAUUUUGUUUUACACUGGUGCACACAAUACUGGUCUUCCAACCCACCUCUUUACCUAAGCUGCUUGAGUUUUAUGUUUAAAAUUAUUAUUAGUGAUUUAAAGCACACCGUCUACCUGCAGAUAUCCACCAACACGCCUCUAUAAAAGCUUUCUCAGGUGAUGAACACAAUCAAACAUCCAGAUAACUUCAGAAAUCUAAAAAUACCAUCUAUUAACUCACGAAUGAGACGAGCUUCUUCUGAACCUUGUCGCUAUUUAUCAGGCAGGAAUCAGGUCAACAGUGAGACAGCAGCAGGAGAAGAUGGAGACACUUUUUAACAUAAUGUUCAGCUUCUUUUUCUUCUGCUGUCAAACUCUAACGUGGGUUGAUUUCAACUUUACAGCUCCGGACUAAUUUUCUCAUUGGCAGCACUGAUGCUAACAACUAUCUCAGUGGACGCAACCCUCCACACUCUUUUUCUGAUUUAUUUUUUAAGAUUUCAAUGCUAUAAACCGGUCAACCUAAACUCUUCACUUGCUGAACAUCCGCUUGUUGAUGGACGCUACUAUUUACCGAUGUUCCCUGAACGCCUCACAUGUUGUAGGCAAUGAUAACCGAUUCAAAAAUGAGCUCAAAAAGAAUAAAAUAAUGCGUUCUGCUGUCAGAUUUGA